rnacentral:rRNA from 1 species
GACGAACGCUGGCGGCGUGCUUAACACAUGCAAGUCGAACGGAAAGGCCCUGCUUUUGUGGGGUGCUCGCGUGGCGAACGGGUGAGUAACUCGUGAGUAACCUGCCCUUGACUUUGGGAUAACUUCAGGAAACUGGGGCUAAUACCGGAUAGGAGCUCCUGCUGCAUGGUGGGGGUUGGAAAGUUUCGGCGGUUGGGGGUGGACUCGCGGCUUAUCAGCUUGUUGGUGGGGUAGUGGCUUACCAAGGCUUUGACGGGUAGCCGGCCUGAGAGGGUGACCGGCCACAUUGGGACUGAGAUACGGCCCAGACUGCUACGGUGGGCAGAAGGGGGGAAUAUUGCACAAUGGGCGGAAGCCUGAUGCAGCAACGCCGCGUGCGGGAUGACGGCCUUCGGGUUGUAAACCGCUUUAGCCUGUGACGAAGCGUGAGUGACGGUAAUGGGUAAAGAAGCACCGGCUAACUACGUG